rfam:Cryptococcus gattii R265 mitochondrial scaffold supercont2.28, whole genome shotgun sequence.
GCCUGUGUAGUAUAGUGGUAGAACGUGGAUCUUGUAAAUCUGAGGCAGGGGUCCGAUUCCUCUCACGGGCA